CGAGGACAUGCGUUUAGACUGGAAGAAAGAAGAUUUCAUCUAAGGCAAAGGAAAGGUUUUUUUUUACUGUAAGAACAAUCAGGAUGUGGAAUUCUCUGCCUGAAGAAGUGGUUUUAUCAGAGUCCAUACAGAUGUUCAAACGGCUACUAGAUGCAUACUUGCAAGAACAGAAUAUUUAAGGAUAUAAUCUUUCAAUGUAGGGUAAUAACUGCUUGAUCCAAGGAUAAAUCUGACUGCCAU